GACGAACGCUGGCGGCGUGCUUAACACAUGCAAGUCGAACGGUGAAGCGCCUUCCUUUUUGGUGGGUGUGGAUGAGUGGCGAACGGGUGAGUAACACGUGAGUAACCUGCCCCCUUCUUCUGGAUAACCGCAUGAAAGUGUGGCUAAUACGGGAUAUUCUGGGUCUGUCGCAUGAUGGGUCUGGGAAAGAUAUUGUUUCGGUGGGGGAUGGGCUCGCGGCCUAUCAGCUUGUUGGUGGGGUGAUGGCCUACCAAGGCGGUGACGGGUAGCCGGCCUGAGAGGGUGGACGGUCACACUGGGACUGAGACACGGCCCAGACUCCUACGGGAGGCAGCAAUGGGGAAUAUUGCACAAUGGGCGCAAGCCUGAUGCAGCGACGCCGCGUGAGGGAUGGAGGCCUUCGGGUUGUGAACCUCUUUCGCCAGUGAAGCAGGCCUGCCUCGUUUGUGGGUGGGUUGACGGUAGCUGGAGAAGAAGCGCCGGCUAACUACGUG
rnacentral:rRNA from 1 species